GAUGAACGCUGGCGGCGUGCUUAACACAUGCAAGUCGAACGGAAAGGCCCAAGCUUGCUUGGGUACUCGAGUGGCGAACGGGUGAGUAACACGUGGGUGAUCUGCCCUGCACUUCGGGAUAAGCCUGGGAAACUGGGUCUAAUACCGGAUAGGACGAUGGUUUGGAUGCCAUUGUGGAAAGUUUUUUCGGUGUGGGAUGAGCUCGCGGCCUAUCAGCUUGUUGGUGGGGUAAUGGCCUACCAAGGCGUCGUCGGGUAGCCGGCCUGGGAGGGUGUACGGCCACAUUGGGACUGAGAUACGGCCCAGACUCCUACGGGAGGCAGCAGUGGGGAAUAUUGCACAAUGGGCGCGAGCCUGAUGCAGCGACGCCGGGUGGGGGAUGACGGCCUUCGGGUUGUAAACUCCUUUCGCUAGGGACGAAGCGUUUUGUGACGGUACCUGGAGAAGAAGCACCGGCUAACUACGUG
rnacentral:rRNA from 1 species